AUUUAUAUAGCUUAUGUAAUAGAGCAUCGUGUUGAAGCUACGAAGGAGAUAGUUUAUAUCUGUAAAUA
rnacentral:tRNA from 1 species